UGCCAGCCGCCGCGGUAAUACAGAGGGUGCAAGCGUUAAUCGGAAUUACUGGGCGUAAAGCGCGCGUAGGCGGAUAUUUAAGUCGGAUGUGAAAUCCCUGGGCUCAACCUAGGAAUUGCAUUCGAUACUGCGUAUCUAGAGUUUGGUAGAGGGAAGUGGAAUUUCCGGAGUAGCGGUGAAAUGCAUAGAUACCGGAAGGAAUACCAGUUGCGAAGGCGGCUUCCUGGGCCAAUACUGACGCUGAGGUGCGAAAGCAUGGGGAGCAAACAGGAUUAGAUA
rnacentral:rRNA from 1 species